GGAUGUGAGGGCGAUCUGCCUGCGACAUCUGUCACCCCAUUGAUCGCCAGGGUUGAUUCGGCUGAUCUGGCUGGCUAGGCAGGUGUCCCCUUCCUCCCUCACCGCUCCAUGUGCGUCCCUCCUGAAGCUGCGCGCUCGGUGGAAGAGGACGACCAUCCCAGAUAGAAGGAGUGUACCGUUCUUCGGUCAAGGGUAUACGAUAGCUGCGCUCCCCUGCUAGAACCUCCAAACAAGCUCAAGGUCCAAGUGUUAAGGUUUUAGUCUUAGUGUUAAAUUUAAGUAUGCUGCAACUGGAUUUCUU